UAUAUACUCCCUUCGUCUGGAAAUACUUGUCUUAAAAAAUGGAUAUAAUGGAUGUAUCUAUAAUUAAAAUAAAUCUAGAUACAUUCAUCUUUAGGACAAGUAUUUCCGGACGGAGGAAGUAGUUG
rfam:Hordeum vulgare subsp. vulgare, WGS project CAJW01000000 data, contig: morex_contig_1559783